UCUCUCUAGGGUGAAGAGGGGGACCAGGGAACCACAGGGGACCUCGGAUCCCAGGGCCCAACGGGUCCUCAAGGAAUCAGAGGCUCCACUGGAAUGAUGGGCCCAAAGGUGGACUGGGAGCACGAGGACAUGAUGGAGUCCAGGUCCCAGGGUGUUGAAGGAGCCUCUGGUGACCAAGGCCAGAGGGGCGUGAUGGGCGAGUCUGGUCCUAGGUGAUGAGGGAUCUCAAGGUGGAAGAGGAAUCACAGGUCUUCCUGGGCCCAAGGGAAAUGGUGGUUUGUCAGGAGUGGAUGGUCGUGAAGGUAUUCCUGGAAUGCCAGGUGGAAAGGGCACCAUUGGCAAGGCUGGGUCUCCCGGUGAGGUGGGGCUUCAGGGACUUCCUGGAUUACCUGGUUCUCCUGGCUCUAAAGGAACUGGUGGAGAGAAGGUAGGUGUCAUAGAG